rnacentral:rRNA from 1 species
AUUGAACGCUGGCGGCAUGCCUUACACAUGCAAGUCGAACGGUAACGCGGGGCAACCUGGCGACGAGUGGCGAACGGGUGAGUAAUAUAUCGGAACGUGCCCAAUAGUGGGGGAUAGCCCGGCGAAAGCCGGAUUAAUACCGCAUACGACCUGAGGGUGAAAGCGGGGGAUCGCAAGACCUCGCGCUAUUGGAGCGGCCGAUAUCAGAUUAGGUAGUUGGUGGGGUAAAGGCCUACCAAGCCUACGAUCUGUAGCUGGUCUGAGAGGACGACCAGCCACACUGGGACUGAGACACGGCCCAGACUCCUACGGGAGGCAGCAGUGGGGAAUUUUUGGACAAUGGGCGCAAGCCUGAUCCAGCCAUGCCGCGUGCGGGAAG